rnacentral:lncRNA from 1 species
AUCCACCGAGAUCUCCUCCUCUUAGAUACCGCUAGUUCCACCAGACCACCCAGCCCGCCAUACCACCGCCGAUCGACGUUCGGCCAAUGGCGCAGCAGAGCAUCGAGGCCCACCGCCCCGGCGCCGAGAUCUACACGGGCGACGACCUCUGCCGCCAGAAGGCCAUCGACCUCCUCCAGGAGCUCAACCUCCCCCGGGGCCUCCUCCCCAUCGAGAACGUGGAGGAGAUCGGCAUCAACCGUCANNNNNNNNNNNNNNNNNNNNNNNNNNNNNNNNNNNNNNNNNNNNNNNNNNNNNNNNNNNNNNNNNNNNNNNNNNNNNNNNNNNNNNNNNNNNNNNNNNNNNNNNNNNNNNNNNNNNNNNNNNNNNNNNNNNNNNNNNNNNNNNNNNNNNNNNNNNNNNNNNNNNNNNNNNNNNNNNNNNUGUCCAAGACCUACCCGGCCUCCGCCUUCGAGCUCGAGGAGCAGGGAAACCAGAGAUUACUCGCAUGAUAAUCACGUGCCCAUUCAUUAACACAAUUGUUCUAUAAAGUGUUGAUUUUUCGUUGCCCUGGAUAAGGAUGAACAAGAGAAGUAGAGCUCUUUUUCCAUGAAGUCUCCUAUGCUGACUCUGGAUUCCUUUGCUCUUUCGUCUUCCGCUUAAAACAUUUAUGCUAGGCAUGAGGUGGAGAGAAUGACAGUCUGCCCUCCCUUUGCCAUUUUCUCUUCGGAUAUUGAAACAGGAGAAAGUGAAACGUGGAUGCCAUCAAAGUAGGAUGUCGGAUUGUCCCCCAAAGGAUGUGAAUAACAGCGUGUUAGUCAGGCAGACCAUUCAGAAAACCGUGUUGGCAUGAUCCUUCGUCACUAUUCCUACAAACUCACCAAGAACUGAUUACAUGGCUUGGAGAAGAUUCAUCGGUCUCGAAAGAAGAAAAGACGGCUUUUGCAAACGGGUUGGGUACAUUUGAUGCUGGCUCUACGCAAAAGAUAAGUGAAUGACACAGAGGACUCGAGGGGUUUUCCAACUCACGACGUGUUGAAGUAUAUCAAGAAAGGUAUCUGAAUGCUGCAUUUCCUUUGAGAGGUGAGCAAGUAACAUUUGUGCGAUUGUUCAGAUUUUGUUUCCUUUGCAAAGGAAACAAAAUCUGAACAAUCGCACAAGUGUACUUACUUACGAUGAGAACCGUGAUGCUUGAGCCAGGCCCUGUUAGCCCUUUUGCCUUAAAAUUGCUGGUUGGUGAGGCCUGUUGUUAUCGAUUACGCUUCAUCGAAAUCAAAUAUUUUCUGCAUGGUGGAGUCGAGCAUUACGGCCGUGGUGAUGUACCCCAAAACUUCGUCUCUUGUGCAUACGGUUCCUCUUGGGACAAGCAGUAGGCCCGUGGAUUAGCAUUAUUUAUGAUGUGGUUGGUCUGAGGUCACAUGUGAACCAUCAAAGCAAGAAAUACAGUGAACUUCGUCGACAAUUUGACACCGCAUUCAUUACCAGUAGGCGACUUCCCCCCCAACUAACAAAUAGCAUCUCCUAGUUCAUUCCCUUCAUCCCCACCAUUACUCCCUUAUUUUUAAAUAUCUUACUACUUCUACGAAUAUGGUAUAUGUUUUCCGUAUAAUCCAACCUUUUCGUAGAGGGAAUGCAUGGCGGCAAUAUCGAUCCUGAUUCUGUUGUCGUUCAUUUUGGAAAUCUAUUUUAGUGUUCAAUAGGCAUUUGCAAUGGUCUGGACCGGAAAUGCUUGGCGCGGAUCUUGCAGCGUGACGCAUGUGUAUUAUUUAAUUGGUAUUCUCUUUAUUACAGCCAAUGGUUUAAAAUUUUAAUGCGAAAGAAAAUCAGUUGGGUAGGUUUAUCAACGUAGUCCACGAGGGAAAGGGGUUGAACCGUGCUGUCGCCGGGAGAGCGGCCAGUCAAUCAAUCAAGUUCGUCUGAACACCAAGGAUUAGUUAUGAGGCUCCAGUGGUCUCGCUAGUACGCAUCAAGAGGCUUCCAACCAACUUAUGAGUAUUACUGGUGAGAGAAUGAUUGGCCCAAGGCCAAUGACUGAUCACGAGAUGCCCAAUAAUUAAACUACAAGUGCGCUACCACUUUGUUUCUUAUGCGUUAUAUCCCGGACUGCUAACGUUUAUUAGACGCAAUGUCUUCUUCCUAUAAAGGGACUUUGGUAACUUUACGCAACAAUGCUCGGUAGAGGACAGUGGGUUAGUGUUGGUUGGUCGUAGUUGUAGAGUGUAGGUGUCGUCACGAGAGCGAUGUGGAUUUCCAUUGUAAAUAUAUCAUUGAUUCAUGGUAUUCAAAAACGAUCAUCGGUCUGAAGACUUUAUGUUUGCCUGCUUGCGCUGAGCUCAUAGCAUUUAUUUGGCAUUGUUUGUGUACGUGGGUCAAAGCGUGAUUCUCCCCCAUCACAAUGAAACAAGACGUCCUUCUCUGGUGGUAUCCCCAACGUGGAUUUCCAGUUGUCUUCGUCCACUUGUUCACUAUUUUCCCUAUUCCUAGGAACUUUCUGCCGACUGCCCAGAUACAGACCCUCAACCAUUGGGAAGACAUUUGCGCCAACACAACUGGUAAGAUUCUGAACAAUUGGGAACACAGCACAGGGAAAUGAAAAGAAUUUUGAGUCUUAACCCGACGAAACAAUACCAUGUUGCUGGUUCAGGGUACAAAUUGAAUUCUGAAGGUGUACAGAGAUCGAAUCCGGGUAUGUACUAGGCAAUUAGUCUCUGGUUUCCCUGCUCCUCGAGCUCGAAGGCGGAGGCCGGGUAGGUCUUGGACAGUCCCGCGGGCGUCCUGAAGGUGAUCUUGGUGGGGUCCUUGGGGUCCACGAAGAACUCUCCCAGCGGGAUCCAGAUGAGCAUCUCCCUGGACUUCACCCCCGUCACCCGCCGCAUGCGCCGGUCCUCCACGAAGCCCGUGACCUCGGCGCCGUAGGAGACGAGGCGGCCCGCCUUGCGGAAGGUGUAGUUGAGGGCCUUUUUCUGGCGGAGCCACACGAAGCCGGUGUGACGGUUGAUGCCGAUCUCCUCCACGUUCUCAAUGGGGAGGAGGCCCCGGGGGAGGUUGAGCUCCUGGAGGAGGUCGAUGGCCUUCUGGCGGCAGAGGUCGUCGCCCGUGUAGAUCUCGGCGCCGGGGCGGUGGGCCUCGAUGCUCUGCUGCGCCAUUGGCCGAACGUCGGUGGGCAGUUGGACGGCGGGCGGGGCCGUCUGGUGGAGCUAGCGGUAUCUAAGAGGAGAAGAAGAAGGUGCCGACUCCGCUGGAGAAGAGGAGGAGAUCCCGGUGGAUUGGUGCACGGAGGAUUCGGGGGGGGGGCGGUUGGGUUCUUAUAGGGCACGGUUCCCGUGGGCGACUGGUAGGGCAGACAGAUGGCAUAACGCGUGGCUGUCACGUCCGGACGUGCGACCGUAGCGAGGGAAUGAACUUAAGGUGACGAUUAGAUGGCAAGGCCUUGGGGGGGCUGCAGUGGGGGGAUGAAUGGGAGGUUGUGCUGUGGUCGCCGUCGGAGCCGGGGCGGCGGGUAUUUAUUGGUUGUUCAGAGGGACGGCCUUGUACGCUGUUGUUCGAGCGCUGACUGCCGGGUUGGAUGAGCAUUGAAUGCAUCAUCCAUCCCUCCAGGAACCUAGCAGCCGCCGUAAGUCCAUGGAGUUUGUUCUUACAGUCUGUCGGCGGCUUCGACUCUUCAUCUGACGUUGAUGCAUGCCAUUUCUUUACCCCUUAACUCCCCCACACCUCAUGCAGCCGCCUAACACGCUGUCGUCUUUAUUUUUCGAAGGAUCGAUCACUGUCCGAAAUAGUCAACCCUUGGAUUAGGGAUCACCGCCCGGUCCACAAUCUCCUUCGGGCUGAACUCCUACUGGCUUUCCGCGCACGUCAGAGUGUUGCGGGGAUAUGGAACCGGUGAGGCAGAGCGAGAGUGCUGUUGAGUGUCAUCGAGACAAGAGACACCGCGGGGGGAUGGGGGGGGGGGAUACGGAGUGCAGGCUAUCCAGGUGAGAGCGAUAGCGAUAACCGAGCUGAGAGGCAGGGAGUGGUGGAUAGAAACGGUGGACAGAGUGUGUGACGUCCCCCUACACCGAUACUUCGUCAAGUUCGUUACCCGGUGAAGUCAUUCGGAGAGCAGGCAGCUAAUAGGAAAUUCACCAUGUAAGGCCGAACUAGCUCGAUGCUGUUCCUCUUCGGUGCGUGUGGAAUGUUUCCCCUCCAAGCGAUUCUGUGCCUUCCUCAGUUGAGCUGAACUGCCACUUGUGCCUGGGUCACCCUAUUCUAGUUCUGACUUGUCUCCCGUCGAGGAUGCUAUUCAAACGGAUAAGGAAGCCCCGGUAAUUGCGUGGGUCCCUCAGCCCCGCUUCGUUUUCUCCGCCAGAAGUCGAUGGCUACAUGUGAGGGCCAAAGGACAUCCUUAGGUGAUUAUAAUUAGGGUCUUCAAUCCAGAGACCCACGCCGGCGAGCCGGUGGAUCAUCGGACACUGAACAACAGCCGACCUCACCUCACCGCCAGUUUCGAAGAUCAUUUAAGACACCGAUUCCCUUCACCCCGACGACCAAGGCACAGCCUGUAGUCCGUCUCCUCUGAGCCUUUGCCAAAUAAACGGCAGCCUCCGGUUUAUUCCAUACCAUGGUCCCGCGUCAGGCUGUGAGCCCCACACGCUAAACCAGCCGUCUCCCUUAUCCGUCCCCACGGUGACCGCACUGUAUAAGUAUCCGUCCCGCUCGCCUCCAUCGUACCCAGCGCUUCACUUCAUCAGCCUGCUCUCUUCCGUUUCUUCUCCAGAAAAAUCGUCCCCUUCUUCAUCCCCUUCAGAUACCCCUCGCUUCUUCCAGCGGUCCUCCCGUGACCCCAACGUCGUUCGAAGUUCGGCCAAUGGCGCAGCAGAGCAUCGAGGCCCACCGCCCCGGCGCCGAGAUCUACACGGGCGACGACCUCUGCCGCCAGAAGGCCAUCGGCCUCCUCCAGGAGCUCAACCUCCCCCGGGGCCUCCUCCCCAUCGAGAACGUGGAGGAGAUCGGCAUCAACCGUCACACCGGCUUCGUGUGGCUCCGCCAGAAGAAGGCCCUCAACUACACCUUCCGCAAGGCGGGCCGCCUCGUCUCCUACGGCGCCGAGGUCACGGGC